ACACAGUCUAUCCUUGAAAAUGACGCACGUGGUACGUCAAAAUAAGUCGGAGAACUCAGGACUAUUUUGUGACAAAGAUCUUGACAAAUCUCCAGUUAUUCAGUAGACCUAUCCCAUUAUUAUUAGGAAAAUGUUUUAUCUGAAAGAGCUCUCAGCUUUGAAUCAUCAUUGGCGGAAGUAGUACACUAUCUACAAGUUUGGCCAACAGGAAGCUUUCUAAGACUCCUAAACAUUUUCUUACCAAGGCAGUGAUUCAAUUGGCAGCCAGUACAUGCCAAAAUGUAGGUGGAAGAUUAGUUUUUAUAAUAAAUUUGAUUUGUCAAAAAGUGAAGUUUAAUCUGUAUGACUUUUUAAAACUACAUUCACGACAACACACUUGAAGUUUGUGGCAUGUGCAUUCAUCAGUUUUAAUCUGUAAUUCACAUUCAUCAGUACAGAUUUGUUUUCAACAUUUUCUGGAAAGGAUUAAAGUCUGUUUAUUUUUAUUAUUAUGGUUUCAACACCUUUUUAUGGUUGAAAUAAUUGUAUACACUACUCUUUUUGGAGAAACCAUAAGGGACCAAAUAAAGAAUGUAAUGUUAUAUAUAUACAAGCCUAAUACUAA